rnacentral:misc_RNA from 1 species
GAUGAAGAACGUAGCGAAAUGCGAUACUUGGUGUGAACUGCAGAAUCCCGUGAACCAUCGAGUCUUUGAACGCAAGUUGCGCCUCAAGCCAUUAGGUUGAGGGCACGUCUGCCUGGGCGUCACAUAUCGUUGCCUGAUGCCAGUUUCCUCGUGAUGGGUGACUGUGCAGGGCGAAUGAUGGCUUCCCGUGAGCAUUGUUGCCUCAUGGUUGGUUGAAAAUUGAGUCCUUGGUAGGGAGCGCCGUGAUAGAUGGUGGUUGAGUGACGAACGAGACCCAAUCAUGUGAGACCCCUACCGAAUUUGGCCUUCAUGACCCACAUGCGUCUUUGGAACGCUCAUGACGAGACCUCAGGUCAGGCGGGGCUACCCGCUGAGUUUAAGCAUAUCAAUAAGCGGAGGA